CGGCGGACGGGUGAGUAACGCGUGGGUAACCUGCCUCAUACAGGGGGAUAACAGUUAGAAAUGGCUGCUAAUACCGCAUAAGACCACAGUACUGCAUGGUACAGUGGUAAAAACUCCGGUGGUAUGAGAUGGACCCGCGUCUGAUUAGGUAGUUGGUGAGGUAACGGCCCACCAAGCCGACGACCAGUAGCCGACCUGAGAGGGUGACCGGCCACAUUGGGACUGAGACACGGCCCAG
rnacentral:rRNA from 1 species